rnacentral:rRNA from 1 species
AGGUGUGGAUAGGGGAGAAAUUCCAAUCGAACCCGGAGAUAGCUGGUUCUCCUCGAAAUAGCUUUAGGGCUAGCCUCAUGAGAGUCUUUUGGAGGUAGAGCACUGAAUUCCCGCGGGGGCGUCAAAGCUUACCAAAGGAUAUCAAACUCCGAAUGCCAGUAAGAUGAUUCAUGGGAGUCAGACUGCACGAGAUAAGUUGGGUAGUCAAAAGGGAAAGAGCCCAGACCUGCAGCUAAGGUCCCAAAAUGUGUGUUAAGUGGAAAAGGAUGUGGGAUUUCAAAGACAACCAGGAUGUUGGCUUAGAAGCAGCCAUACAUUAAAAGAGUGCGUAAUAGCUCACUGGUCGAGAGGUCCUGCGCCGAAAAUGUCCGGGGCUGAAACACACUACCGAAGCUCAGGAAUUAACGUAGUUAAUUGGUAGAGGAGCAUUCUUAAAGGGAAGAAGCAGUACCGGAAGGAGCUGUGGACUUUUAAGAAGAGAGAAUGCCGGAAUGAGUAGCGAGAGGAAGGUGAGAAUCCUUCCGGCCGAAUACCCAAGGUUUCCAGAGUAAAGCUGAUCUGCUCUGGGUAAGUCGGGGCCUAAGGUGAGGUCGAAAGACGUAGCCGAUGGACAACAGGUUGAAAUUCCUGUACUGCAGUAUAACAGAACUGUGGGGACGCAGAGGGAGAGCACUAGCGGGAAUGGAAUCCCGCGGCAAGCGAGGUAGGAGUCGCGCUGGCAAAUCCGCGUGACAAUCCGAAGACGUGAUGCAUACCGAACUAAAGUAGGGAAAUGUGUGAGCCAGCUGCCAAGAAAAGCCGCUAUUGUUUGUACUGUACCCGUACCGUAAACCGACACAGGUAGGUGAGGAGAGAAUCCUAAGGCCGACGGGAGAAGCAUUGUUAAGGAACUCGGCAAAAUGACUCCGUAACUUCGGGAGAAGGAGUGCCAGUAAGAUGGCCGCAGAGAAUUGGCCCAAGCAACUGUUUAGCAAAAACACAGGUCUAUGCAAAACCGAAAGGUGAGGUAUAUGGGCUGACGCCUGCCCGGUGCUGGAAGGUUAAGGGGAGAGGUUAGCGCAAGCGAAGCUUUGAACUUAAGCCCCAGUAAACGGCGGCCGUAACUAUAACGGUCCUAAGGUAGCGAAAUUCCUUGUCGGGUAAGUUCCGACCC